AUUGAACGCUGGCGGCAUGCCUUACACAUGCAAGUCGAACGGCAGCACGGGUGCUUGCACCUGGUGGCGAGUGGCGAACGGGUGAGUAAUACAUCGGAACAUGUCCUGUAGUGGGGGAUAGCCCGGCGAAAGCCGGAUUAAUACCGCAUACGAUCUACGGAUGAAAGCGGGGGACCUUCGGGCCUCGCGCUAUAGGGUUGGCCGAUGGCUGAUUAGCUAGUUGGUGGGGUAAAGGCCUACCAAGGCGACGAUCAGUAGCUGGUCUGAGAGGCCGACCAGCCACACUGGGACUGAGACACGGCCCAGACUCCUACGGGAGGCAGCAGUGGGGAAUUUUGGACAAUGGGCGAAAGCCUGAUCCAGCAAUGCCGCGUGUGUGAAGAAGGCCUUCGGGUUGUAAAGCACUUUUGUCCGGAAAGAAAUCCUUGGCCCUAAUACGGUCGGGGGAUGACGGUACCGGAAGAAUAAGCACCGGCUAACUACGUG
rnacentral:rRNA from 1 species